AUUGAACGCUGGCGGCAGGCCUAACACAUGCAAGUCGAGCGCGCGGCGCACGGGUGAGUAAUGUCUCGGAAACUGUCUGAUGGAGGGGGAUAACAAUUGGAAACGCUAGCUAAUAUCGCACACCCCCUGAUGUGUCCAGAUGGGAUUAGCUAGUAGGUGGGGUAAGGGCUCACCUGGGCGACGAUCCCUCGCUGGUCUGAGAGGAUGUCCAGCAACACUGGAACGGAGACACGGUCCAGACUCCUACGGGAGGCAGCAGUGGGGAAUAUUGCACAAUGGGCGCAAGCCUGAUGCAGCCAUGCCGCGUGUAUGAAGAAGGCCUUCGGGUUGUAAAGUACUUUCAGCGGGGAGGCGUUACCCGCAGAAGAAGCACCGGCUAACUCCGUGCCAGCAGCCGCGGUAAUUC
rnacentral:rRNA from 1 species